AAUAGUGAAACAGAUUAGCAGUAGGGCCACCAAGACAGUACACCCAACCCUAAUUCAGAGAUGUCUCAGUUUAUCAGUUUUCUGUCAAUCAUUAAAACAAGAUGAAUGAAACAUACAAUUAUAUACAAGGAGAUAGAACUCCUAAUUCUUUCAUCUUAGCUGAAGCAUAAGUUUUAAUUGCUUAGAAAAAUAAGGUUUUUUGUUU
ensembl:misc_RNA